GAUGAACGCUGGCGGCGUGCUUAACACAUGCAAGUCGAACGGAAAGGCUCCUGCUUGCAGGGGUACUCGAGUGGCGAACGGGUGAGUAACACGUGGGUGAUCUGCCCUGCACUUCGGGAUAAGCCUGGGAAACUGGGUCUAAUACCGGAUAGGACGAUGGUUUGGAUGCCAUUGUGGAAAGUUUUUCGGUGUGGGAUGAGCUCGCGGCCUAUCAGCUUGUUGGUGGGGUAAUGGCCUACCAAGGCGUCGACGGGUAGCCGGCCUGGGAGGGUGUACGGCCACAUUGGGACUGGGAUACGGCCCAGACUCCUACGGGAGGCAGCAGGGGGGAAUAUUGCACAAUGGGGGCGAGCCUGAUGCAGCGAAGCCGCGUGGGGGAUGAAGGCCUUCGGGUUGUAAACUCCUUUCGCUAGGGACGAAGCGUUUUGUGACGGUAACUGGAGAAGAAGCACCGGCUAACUACGUG
rnacentral:rRNA from 1 species